rnacentral:ncRNA from 1 species
AGGCAGCUUACUGGAUUGUAACUGACGCUGAUGCUCGAAAGUGUGGGUAUCAAACAGGAUUAGAUACCCUGGUAGUCCACACAGUAAACGAUGAAUACUCGCUGUUGGCGAUAUACAGUCAGCGGCCAAGCGAAAGCAUUAAGUAUUCCACCUGGGGAGUACGCCGGCAACGGUGAAACUCAAAGGAAUUGACGGGGGCCCGCACAAGCGGAGGAACAUGUGGUUUAAUUCGAUGAUACGCGAGGAACCUUACCCGGGCUUAAAUUGCAACUGACUGAAUCGGAAACGGUUCUUUCUUCGGACAGUUGUGAAGGUGCUGCAUGGUUGUCGUCAGCUCGUGCCGUGAGGUGUCGGCUUAAGUGCCAUAACGAGCGCAACCCUUA